GAUGAAGAACGCAGUGAAAUGCGAUAAGUAAUGUGAAUUGCAGAAUUCCGUGAAUCAUCGAAUCUUUGAACGCACAUUGCGCCCCCUGGCAUUCCGGGGGGCAUGCCUGUCCGAGCGUCAUUUCUGCCCUCAAGCACGGCUUGUGUGUUGGGUGCGGUCCCCCCGGGGACCUGCCCGAAAGGCAGCGGCGACGUCCGUCUGGUCCUCGAGCGUAUGGGGCUCUGUCACUCGCUCGGGAAGGACCUGCGGGGGUUGGUCACCACUAUAUUUUACCCCGGUUGACCUCGGAUCAGGUAGGAGUUACCCGCUGAACUUAAGCAUAUCAAUAAGCGGAGGA
rnacentral:misc_RNA from 1 species